rnacentral:rRNA from 1 species
AGUGGCGAACGGGUGAGUAACACGUGAGAACCUGCCCUUAACUCUGGGAUAAGCCUGGGAAACUGGGUCUAAUACCGGAUAGGAGCGCCUACCGCAUGGUGGGUGUUGGAAAGAUUAUCGGUUUUGGAUGGACUCGCGGCCUAUCAGCUUGUUGGUGAGGUAAUGGCUCACCAAGGCGACGACGGGUAGCCGGCCUGAGAGGGUGACCGGCCACACUGGGACUGAGACACGGCCCAGACUCCUACGGGAGGCAGCAGUGGGGAAUAUUGCACAAUGGGCGCAAGCCUGAUGCAGCGACGCCGCGUGAGGGAUGACGGCCUUCGGGUUGUAAACCUCUUUCAGUAGGGAAGAAGCGAAAGUGACGGUACCUGCAGAAGAAGCACCGGCUAACUACGUGCCAGCAGCCGCGGUAAUACGUAGGGUGCGAGCGUUAUCCGGAAUUAUUGGGCGUAAAGAGCUCGUAGGCGGUUUGUCGCGUCUGUCGUGAAAGUCCGGGGCUUAACCCCGGAUCUGCGGUGGGUACGGGCAGACUAGAGUGCAGUAGGGGAGACUGGAAUUCCUGGUGUAGCGGUGGAAUGCGCAGAUAUCAGGAGGAACACCGAUGGCGAAGGCAGGUCUCUGGGCUGUAACUGACGCUGAGGAGCGAAAGCAUGGGGAGCGAACAGGAUUAGAUACCCUGGUAGUCCAUGCCGUAAA